GCUGGCGGCACGCCUAACACAUGCAAGUCGAACGAAGUAGCAAUACUUAGUGGCAGACGGGUGAGUAACAUGUAGGUAUCUACCCUAUGGCCUGGAAUAACACGAGGAAACUUGUGCUAAUACCGGAUAAGUCUUUACAGAGAAAGCUUUAUGCACCAUUGGAUGAGCCUGCACUUGAUUAGUUUGUUGGUAGGGUAAUGGCCUACCAAGACUGUGAUCAAUAGCUGAUUUGAGAGGAUGAUCAGCCACAUUGGGACUGAGACACGGCCCAAACUCCUACGGGAGGCAGCAGUGGGGAAUCUUGCACAAUGGAGGAAACUCUGAUGCAGCGAUGCCGCGUGAGUGAAGAAGGCCCUUGGGUUGUAAAGCUCUUUCGUCGGGGAAGAAAAUGACUGUACCCGAAUAAGAAGGUCCGGCUAACUUCGUGCCAGCAGCCGCGGUAAUACGAAGGGACCUAGCGUAGUUCGGAAUUACUGGGCUUAAAGAGUUCGUAGGUGGUUGAAAAAGUUGGUGGUGAAAUCCCAGAGCUUAACUCUGGAACUGCCAUCAAAACUUUUCAGCUAGAGUAUGAUAGAGGAAAGCAGAAUUUCUAGUGUAGAGGUGAAAUUCGUAGAUAUUAGAAAGAAUACCAAUUGCGAAGGCAGCUUUCUGGAUCAUUACUGACACUGAGGAACGAAAGCAUGGGUAGCGAAGAGGAUUAGAUACCCUCGUAGUCCAUGCCGUAAACGAUGUGUGUUAGACGUUGGAAAUUUAUUUUCAG
rnacentral:rRNA from 1 species